GGGGAUGGUAACACCACCAUCCGGGGUUGGCAUGAAGGUUGAAAAACAAUCUGAAGAAAAUACCAGAUACUAUAAACAGUGGCUGCUAUCAUCAGAAACGCAGAAUGAGGGAAAACCACCUGUUUGAGAGUUAGAGCAUGGGUUUCGAAGUCAGGUAGACCCAAAGUGAGCUCCAGCUCUGUCACUAAGUGUUAAGUCUAGAACAACUUAUUUUGCUCUUCUCGACCUCAAAGAACUGUGAGGUGGGACGAUAUUCAGUACCUACCUGUAGUGGGUUGAAUGGAGCCUCUCCUCCCCCAGAAGGUUUGUCCAUCUGGAACCUAAGAAUAUGACCUCAUUUGGAUAAAAGGUCUUUGAGAAUGUGAUCAAGUUAAGGAUCUCCAGAUGAGAUCCUCCUGGAUUAUGCCAGUGAGCCCUACGUCCACAACAAGAGUCCAAUUGGAGAAAAGGCAGAGGGAGACUGCACACAGACACCCACAGAGGGAGGAGCAGGCCAUGUGAAGGCAGAGCAGAGGCUGGAAGGAUGAGUCUCGAUCCCAAGAUCCAAGAUAGCCAGAGCCCCCAGCAGCUACCACUGAGCCAGAGUCUCCCUCAGAAGUGCGAGAAGACAAAUUUCUGUUCCUUUAAUCCCCCCAAUUCAUGGUAAUUUCUUAAUACAGCUCUGAGAACCUAAGACACUCCCUUAGCACAGCAUCUAGCCCACAAGAAGCCCUCAUGAAGGUUAGUUAGCAGAGGUGACAGAAAGACAAUGUCUUAGUCCUUAUUUCAGGAAUAAGGCAACUACACAUACACUGUGCCUCCUCAACCAUACAUUGCCUCCCACCCACAUGCCCUAGAUGGAUCUUCCUUGUCUACACCUCAUGACAUGUCAGGUGGAGGCAAUAGACUCAUCUCCACUUUAUGGGAGAAGGUGUUAAGGCAACGUGCCAAAGCUCACAUAAAGAGCAGAGAUGAAAGCAACCUUAUUUCUUCUGGUUACCAACUGAGUGGUUUUCAUCUUGUUUUUGCAUUGUUUUGCUUAGGUCGAAGAGGUGGGUGUGUGAGUAAGAGAGUAUUGUGCAGAAAUACUCUGUCCUUUAGACGAACCCCCAAGACCUCAGUCUUACUCACCCUGGUUUUGCGACAUGGCUGGAUGUCUCAACGUGGGCCCAAGCAUCAUGAGUGAAGUGGGCAGAACAUGGUCCCCUUCAAGAGUCCUUGGAGAGAUAAAUAAAACAGCAAAUACCAUGGAACGUCCACCUGUGGAGGCCCUAAUGCAGGCAUGCCAGUGAGUUUCCCAUCCAGUCGCACUUGCAUCAACACGCUUCCAGCUUCUCUGCUGGAGAGACAAACAGCGAUUCUAGAGGGGGGACAGCACCAGCCCAUGGUGCAAGCUGCUCACAAGCUGGACAGGGCCUCUGGAAACCAUAGAGAGUCCACAAGUGCAGGAAUGUAACCCUCUAAGAACUCGAGUCCUGGAACGAGACAGCCUGUGUUUGAAGCCCAGCUGGGCCUCAUCUUGCCUCCAUGACCUUGGGUGGCUUAUGCAACAUUUUUUUGUGAC
rnacentral:lncRNA from 1 species